rnacentral:tRNA from 1 species
AAGCGGUGGAUUGUAGCCCCAUGAACAGAGGUUUAAGUCCUCUUCAUAC